rnacentral:rRNA from 1 species
CUGGCGGCGUGCUUAACACAUGCAAGUCGAACGGUAAGGCCCUUCGGGGUACACGAGUGGCGAACGGGUGAGUAACACGUGGGUGAUCUGCCCUGCACUUCGGGAUAAGCCUGGGAAACUGGGUCUAAUACCGGAUAGGACCAUGGACUUCACGGUUUGUGGUGGAAAGCUUUUGCGGUGUGGGAUGGGCCCGCGGCCUAUCAGCUUGUUGGUGGGGUAAUGGCCUACCAAGGCGACGACGGGUAGCCGGCCUGAGAGGGUGUCCGGCCACACUGGGACUGAGAUACGGCCCAGACUCCUACGGGAGGCAGCAGUGGGGAAUAUUGCACAAUGGGCGCAAGUCUGAUGCAGCGACGCCGCGUGAGGGAUGACGGCCUUCGGGUUGUAAACCUCUUUCAAUAGGGACGAAGCGCAAGUGACGGUACCUAUAGAAGAAGCACCGGCCAACUACGUG